rnacentral:rRNA from 1 species
GAUGAACGCUGGCGGCGUGCUUAACACAUGCAAGUCGAACGGAAAGGCUCCUGCUUGCAGGGGUACUCGAGUGGCGAACGGGUGAGUAACACGUGGGUGAUCUGCCCUGCACUUCGGGAUAAGCCUGGGAAACUGGGUCUAAUACCGGAUAGGACGAUGGUUUGGAUGCCAUUGUGGAAAGUUUUUCGGUGUGGGAUGAGCUCGCGGCCUAUCAGCUUGUUGGUGGGGUAAUGGCCUACCAAGGCGUCGACGGGUAGCCGGCCUGAGAGGGGGUACGGCCACAUUGGGACUGAGAUACGGCCCAGCCUCCUACGGGAGGCAGCAGUGGGGAAUAUUGCACAAUGGGCGCAAGCCUGAUGCAGCGACGCCGCGUGGGGGAUGACGGCCUUCGGGUUGUAAACUCCUUUCGCUAGGGACGAAGCGCAAGUGACGGUACCUGGAGAAGAAGCACCGGCUAACUACGUG